GCCUACGGGGGGCAGCAGUAGGGAAUCUUCCACAAUGGGCGAAAGCCUGAUGGAGCAACGCCGCGUGGGUGAAGAAGGUCUUCGGAUCGUAAAACCCUGUUGUUAGAGAAGAAAGUGCGUGAGAGUAACUGUUCACAUUUCGACGGUAUCUAGCCAGAAAGCCACGGCUAACUACGUGCCAGCAGCCGCGGUAAUACGUAGGUGGCAAGCGUUAUCCGGAUUUAUUGGGCGUAAAGGGAACGCAGGCGGUCUUUUAAGUCUGAUGUGAAAGCCUUCAGCUUAACCGGAGUAGUGCAUUGGAAACU
rnacentral:rRNA from 1 species